UCGAGGAUCCUUCGCAAUGGGCGAAAGCCUGACGAUGCGACGCUGCGUGGAGGAUGAAGGCCCUCGGGUUGUGAACUCCUGUCAUGAGGGAAGAGGAGAGUGUCACUAACAUUGACGCGAUUUGACGGUACCUCAAGAGGAAGCCACGGCUAACUCUGUGCCAGCAGCCGCGGUAAUACAGAGGUGGCGAGCGUUGUUCGGAUUUACUGGGCGUAAAGGGCGCGUAGGCGGCCGCGUGUGUCGGGUGUGAAAUCCCAGGGCUCAACCCUGGAAGUGCGCCCGAAACUGCGCG
rnacentral:rRNA from 1 species